CCUAAUACAUGCAAGUCGAGCGAACGGACGAGAAGCUUGCUUCUCUGAUGUUAGCGGCGGACGGGUGAGUAACACGUGGAUAACCUACCUAUAAGACUGGGAUAACUUCGGGAAACCGGAGCUAAUACCGGAUAAUAUUUUGAACCGCAUGGUUCAAAAGUGAAAGACGGUCUUGCUGUCACUUAUAGAUGGAUCCGCGCUGCAUUAGCUAGUUGGUAAGGUAACGGCUUACCAAGGCAACGAUGCAUAGCCGACCUGAGAGGGUGAUCGGCCACACUGGAACUGAGACACGGUCCAGACUCCUACGGGAGGCAGCAGUAGGGAAUCUUCCGCAAUGGGCGAAAGCCUGACGGAGCAACGCCGCGUGAGUGAUGAAGGUCUUCGGAUCGUAAAACUCUGUUAUUAGGGAAGAACAUAUGUGUAAGUAACUGUGCACAUCUUGACGGUACCUAAUCAGAAAGCCACGGCUAACUACGUGCCAGCAGCCGCGGUAAUACGUAGGUGGCAAGCGUUAUCCGGAAUUAUUGGGCGUAAAGCGCGCGUAGGCGGUUUUUUAAGUCUGAUGUGAAAGCCCACGGCUCAACCGUGGAGGGUCAUUGGAAACUGGAAAACUUGAGUGCAGAAGAGGAAAGUGGAAUUCCAUGUGUAGCGGUGAAAUGCGCAGAGAUAUGGAGGAACACCAGUGGCGAAGGCGACUUUCUGGUCUGUAACUGACGCUGAUGUGCGAAAGCGUGGGGAUCAAACAGGAUUAGAUACCCUGGUAGUCCACGCCGUAAACGAUGAGUGCUAAGUGUUAGGGGGUUUCCGCCCCUUAGUGCUGCAGCUAACGCAUUAAGCACUCCGCCUGGGGAGUACGACCGCAAGGUUGAAACUCAAAGGAAUUGACGGGGACCCGCACAAGCGGUGGAGCAUGUGGUUUAAUUCGAAGCAACGCGAAGAACCUUACCAAAUCUUGACAUCCUUUGACAACUCUAGAGA
rnacentral:rRNA from 1 species